rnacentral:rRNA from 1 species
UACGUAGGGUGCGAGCGUUAAUCGGAAUUACUGGGCGUAAAGCGUGCGUAGGCGGUUCGUUAAGUUCGUUGUGAAAGCCCCGGGCUCAACCUGGGAAUGGCAAUGGAAACUGGCGGGCUUGAGUAUGGCAGAGGGGGGUGGAAUUCCGCGUGUAGCAGUGAAAUGCGUAGAGAUGCGGAGGAACACCGAUGGCGAAGGCAGCCCCCUGGGCCAAUACUGACGCUCAGGCACGAAGGCCAGGGGAGCAAACGGG